rnacentral:lncRNA from 1 species
GACUAAAGCCAGGCCACUGCUUCCUCAACCAUUAAAAAAGACCAGACUCGGGUCCUCUGUGGACCUGCCCAGCCCUCUCAAGUUGCCAUCAGAGUAUCUGAAAGUUAAAAUGGGGUAAAGAGGAAGUCCUUCUGCAGUAGUCAGUAGCUCUGCUGGCAGACAUGUGGUCCCCUUGCUGGUCUGUACCUUGAAAAACAACAUGGAGAAAGUGUAGCCCAAGAGGCAUUUAUGUGCCCUCUGCUCUCCUGAGAUUCUGCCCUGAUAGCAGGAUAGGCCCCUGCACUAAAUUCCCUGGUGAAGUUCUGGACUGAAAAUAAGAAUGAAGAAAUUAGAGUUGGUAGCCAAGUGCAAUUGCACACACCUGUAAUCCCAGUUAUUCAAGAGGCUGAGACAGGGGAACCGUAAGUUCAAGGCCACUUGUGAGACCCUGUCUCAAAAUAAAAUUUAAAAGGGGGGGCUGGGGAUUUGACUCAGUAGUAGAGCCAAGGCUCUGCAUUUGACACCCCCACCCCCAGUACUGUGAAACAGAAGAAUGGAGAAAUUAGAGUGUCCUGCAUACAUGACUUUUGUCACUCCUCAGUGUUCAGCAUGAACAUGGAGACUGUACAUACUGAGAUGUGAAGUGAGAAAAAGUAACGCACCCCGAGACUUUGCCCAGACCUGUCACAUUUGUGAAAACCAGAUAAAUAGGUUGGUUAAAAACUAAAUACGACUAGGAAGGGGGAAAGAGUUGUGUUGUAAUGCUAACAUUAGUGUAUUUGUUCAUUGGUUGAUUUUUAACAAAUAGUGAGGUUUUUGUUUUUAUUUUUAAAGAAAAAGACAUGUUAUCUCUUAUGGAAAUUCUAAUAAAGCCCAAAAAAGAAAGUUAAAAAAAAAAAAUCCAGCAAAAUCCAACCAUCCAGAAAAUAGCAUUACUGGAAAUUCGAACUCUCUUCGUCCCUUUGCUGUGUACCUGUAUUUUCCAUGUUUUACUCCAGAGAUGUGCUCUUUGGUAGGGAGAAUGCUAGUUCCUCAGCAGGCGAAGAACCAGCCAGGACACAGGACACAGAGGGUAUUUCAGAUGGCUGGCUGCCAGGAGGGAGGAGGGCCAGAGGCCAGAGGCCAGGAGGCUCUCCCUGCCUGUGAAAAGCACAGAGAUUAAGACCUAUCUUCGCAGGAUUACAGCUCCUAAUUAGGAAAGGAGGCUUGCAGAAGGGGACCUUUCAGCAUUCCACAGCAGGCUUGUUUGCUUUUCCUGCCAUCUUUUAGAGUGCUGCAAGACUUUCCCCCUCUUUGUUUAAAAUAGAAAAUAUAAAGACAAGAAGAAGCAGGUAACUGAUGGGCAGAGACAUGCUGCUGCUUGAUGGGGCUCACGGAGGCCAUGGAGGGUGGCAGAGAUGCAGGGAGCUGAGAGGCCCCUGGGAGAUCUAGCCCAGACCCCAUGGUGUAUAAAAGGGGAGACUGAGGCCCAGAG